rnacentral:lncRNA from 1 species
CCGUUACGGAAUUCCGCCUGAAAAGAACAAGGUAUAGAUAUACGGAAACAUCGAGGGGAAAACGCUGCCACAGACUACAAUUUUUGCAUUUGUGCAACUAUGCAUUGUGCGAAGGCAUAGCUCUGAGCCAGGAGAAAGCCUCCAAGGCUAAGACCAGGGUUGGAGGACAAAGGUGAUAAAGAGCUAAUUUAGUGUCAUAUGUUCUUGGGUUUAUUUUUUUGUUGUUGUUUGGUUGGUUUGGUUUGGUUUUUACGAACCGAAUAAUAGCCUCCAAUUCCACACAUUUCUCCCACAUAGGCAUUCCAAGUGACAGAUGUCAGCCACCUGGCUCCUUUUUAAAUUUAAAAAAAAAUUUUUUUUAAAUUUUAGUGACGUGUGUGUAUACGUGUGUGUGUGUGUGUGUGUGUGUGUGUGUGUGUGUGCCACGAUUCAUGUUUGGAGGUCAAAGGACAAUUUGAGGAGGUUGGUUCUCCACCAUCUCGUCUGCCAUGGUAGUUGUUUUUGUUGUUUUUUGGUUUUUGUUUUUUUAAAGAGAUCUGUAAGGUCAAAUUUUCUUCGCAUACUCCAGCCAAAACGACACAUGACUGACUAUAGAUAGAGGCAGAACUACAACACACCCAUUUUCUAUUAAAUUGCAACUUAAGAAAUUUGUGAAAAUUAACCAUUCUAACAUUUUGGAUAAU